rnacentral:rRNA from 1 species
AUUGAACGCUGGCGGCAUGCCUUACACAUGCAAGUCGAACGGCAGCAUGAUCUAGCUUGCUCGAUUGAUGGCGAGUGGCGAACGGGUGAGUAAUAAAUAGGAACGUGCCUUGUAGUGGGGGAUAACUAGUCGAAAGAUUAGCUAAUACCGCAUACGACCUGAGGGUGAAAGUGGGGGACCGAAAGGCCUCAUGCUAUAGGAGCGGCCGAUGUCGGAUUAGCUAGUUGGGGAGGUAAAGGCUAACCAAGGCGAAGAUCAGUAGCUGGUCUGAGAGGACGAUCAGCCACACGGGGACUGAGACACGGCCCAGAGUCCUACGGGAGGCAGCAGUGGGGAAUUUUGGACAAUGGGGGCAACCCUGAUCCAGCGAUGCCGCGUGUGGGAAGAAGGCCUUCGGGUUGUAAAGCACUUUUGUCCGGAAAGAAAUCGCACUUACUAAUAUUAGGUGUGGAUGACGGUACCGGAAGAAUAAGGACCGGCUAACUACGUGCCAGCCGCCGCAGUAACAC